GGGGAUUUAGCUCAGUGGUAGAGCGCUUGCCUAGCAAGCGCAAGGCCCUGGGUUCGGUCCUCAGCUCCCCCC
rfam:Rattus norvegicus chromosome 4, whole genome shotgun sequence.